AGUGAACGCUGGCGGUAGGCCUAACACAUGCAAGUCGAACGGCAGCACAGUAAGAGCUUGCUCUUACGGGUGGCGAGUGGCGGACGGGUGAGGAAUACAUCGGAAUCUACUUUUUCGUGGGGGAUAACGUAGGGAAACUUACGCUAAUACCGCAUACGACCUACGGGUGAAAGCAGGGGAUCUUCGGACCUUGCGCGAUUGAAUGAGCCGAUGUCGGAUUAGCUAGUUGGCGGGGUAAAGGCCCACCAAGGCGACGAUCCGUAGCUGGUCAGAGAGGAUGAUCAGCCACACUGGAACUGAGACACGGUCCAGACUCCUACGGGAGGCAGCAGUGGGGAAUAUUGGACAAUGGGCGCAAGCCUGAUCCAGCCAUACCGCGUGGGUGAAGAAGGCCUUCGGGUUGUAAAGCCCUUUUGUUGGGAAAGAAAAGCAGCGGGUUAAUACCCCGCUGUUCUGACGGUACCCAAAGAAUAAGCACCGGCUAACUUCGUG
rnacentral:rRNA from 1 species